rnacentral:rRNA from 1 species
GACGAACGCUGGCGGCGUGCUUAAUACAUGCAAGUCAACUGAACUUAAGGUAGUAAUAUCUUAAGAGAGGUGGCGCACGGGUGAGUAACACGUAGGUAAUCUGCCUUUAGGUCUGACACAACCUAUCGAAAGGUAGGCUAAUAUCAGAUGAUGCAGCGGCUCGACAUCGAGACAGUUGUUAAACCUUCGGGGCCUGAAGAUGAGCCUGCGUCUGAUAGGUAGUUGGCGGAGUAAAAGCCCACCAAGCCUGCGAUCAGUAGCUGGUCUGAGAGGAUGAUCAGCCACACUGGAACUGAGACACGGUCCAGACUCCUACGGGAGGCAGCAGUAAGGAAUAUUGCUCAAUGGCCGAAAGGCUGAAGCAGCAACGCCGCGUGGAGGAUGAAAUUACUUUUGU